rnacentral:tRNA from 153 species
AGGGGGCGGAUGUAGCCAAGUGGUUAAGGCAGU